rnacentral:rRNA from 1 species
GAUGAACGCUGGCGGCGUGCCUAAUACAUGCAAGUCGAGCGAACAGACGAGGAGCUUGCUCCUCUGACGUUAGCGGCGGACGGGUGAGUAACACGUGGAUGACCUACCUAUAAGACUGGGAUAACUUCGGGAAACCGGAGCUAAUACCGGAUAAUAUAUUGAACCGCAUGGUUCAAUAGUGAAAGACGGUUUUGCUGUCACUUAUAGAUGGAUCCGCGCCGCAUUAGCUAGUUGGUAAGGUAACGGCUUACCAAGGCAACGAUGCGUAGCCGACCUGAGAGGGUGAUCGGCCACACUGGAACUGAGACACGGUCCAGACUCCUACGGGAGGCAGCAGUAGGGAAUCUUCCGCAAUGGGCGAAAGCCUGACGGAGCAACGCCGCGUGAGUGAUGAAGGUCUUCGGAUCGUAAAACUCCGUUAUUAGGGAAGAACAAAUGUGUAAGUAACUAUGCACGUCUUGACGGUACCUAAUCAGAAAGCCACGGCUAACUACGUG